GUGGUCAUAGCUCAAUUGGUAGAGCACUUGCCUGUGGAGCGAGCGGUUGAGGGUUCAACUCCCUCUGACCACCCCA
rnacentral:tRNA from 1 species